rnacentral:misc_RNA from 1 species
GUUUGGUAAAAGGCGGCUUAUAAACACAAGUAUCAUUAAAAUGACUAUAAAAGAUACUAAUUUAUUUUAAAAUAAAUGAGAAUAUAUGAUGAAAUUUUAAAACUUAAUGAGGAUAACAAAGUAAAUCACUAGGUUAACCUAACUUAUGAGCAUAAUAUUUAUAAACACCAAAAUGAAAAGUUCCUCUCUCCCAGGUUUUUUUCUUUUUGCUUAUAGAAACUUAUAAGCUCUAAACAUCUUUUAAACAAAAUAGUCAGAAGUUAGUUUGACCAGCUUAUAAAUUAAACCAAAUACCAUCUACGAUGGUGAAAUAACACAUCAAAAU